rnacentral:rRNA from 1 species
GAGGAAUCUUGCGCAAUGGGCGAAAGCCUGACGCAGCAACGCCGCGUGGAUGAUGAAGGCCUUCGGGUCGUAAAAUCCUGUCGAGUGGGACGAAACACCGGUUGGCAAAUAACUGACCGGCUUGACGGUACCACUGGAGGAAGCCCCGGCUAACUCCGUGCCAGCAGCCGCGGUAAUACGGAGGGGGCGAGCGUUGUUCGGAAUCAUUGGGCGUAAAGGGCGCGUAGGCGGUCGAGUAAGUCGGUUGUGAAAGCCCCUGGCUUAACCAGGGAAGUGCAGCCGAAACUGCCUGACUAGAGGCCGGGAGAGGAGAGUGGAAUUCCCAGUGUAGCGGUGAAAUGCGUAGAUAUUGGGAGGAACACCUGUGGCGAAGGCGGCUCUCUGGACCGGUUCUGACGCUGAAGCGCGAAAGCUAGGGGAGCAAACAGG